rnacentral:misc_RNA from 1 species
GAUGAAGAACGUAGCGAAAUGCGAUAAGUAGUGUGAAUUGCAGAAUUCAGUGAAUCAUCGAAUCUUUGAACGCGCAUUGCGCCCUUUGGUAUUCCAAAGGGCAUGCCUGUUCGAGCGUCAUUUGUACCCUCAAGCUUUGCUUGGUGUUGGGCGUCUUGUCUCUAGCUUUGCUGGAGACUCGCCUUAAAGUAAUUGGCAGCCGGCCUACUGGUUUCGGAGCGCAGCACAAGUCGCACUCUCUAUCAGCAAAGGUCUAGCAUCCAUUAAGCCUUUUUUUUCAACUUUUGACCUCGGAUCAGGUAGGGGUACCCGCUGAACUUAAGCAUAUCAAUAAGCGGAGGA